CAUGAAACCACACCCAGCAAGGACAAAAAGUCAUCCCUGAUGACAUGGGAUACUCACUGUUUAACUGGCAACGCUGUAGCUUCCCUGCGAGGGAGGUGCACCAUAGAGUCAGAGCGCUCUCCGAGUCCGGAAGCGGGCUGCAGUGGUAACAUGUGUGCAGAGUAUGGUGUGCUCUGGGUGGCCAAGACGUACCCCCAUGGCCAGCUGGCCAUCCCCUGCUGCCCAGUGAUGUCCCAGGGAGCGCAUCGUUCUCUCCUGAUUGCCUGCUGAUUUUGUUAGGUAGUGUGACCCACGCUGUGCACUUGCACAUGGACACAAGAUGACAAACCGCCAUAUUAAAUUCUUGGCAAACUCUUGUCCACCCUCGGUCUUACACCAACUGUCUGCUAUCUUAGAGACUCCAAACAGACAACAGGUGUCCGUUGCCCACUUGAUUGCAAAGGUGUGUGAUAUGUGUAUCAUAAAGUGAAACCAAAC
rnacentral:lncRNA from 1 species